UACGUAGGGGGCGAGCGUUGUCCGGAAUGAUUGGGCGUAAAGGGCGCGUAGGCGGCCUGAUAAGUCUGGAGUGAAAGUCCUGCUUUCAAGGUGGGAAUUGCUUUGGAUACUGUUAGGCUUGAGUACAGGAGAGGAAAGCGGAAUUCCCGGUGUAGCGGUGAAAUGCGUAGAGACCAGUAGGAACACCAGUGGCGAAGGCGGCUUUCUGGACUGAAACUGACGCUGAGGCGCGAAAGCGUGGGGAGCAAACAGG
rnacentral:rRNA from 1 species